rnacentral:rRNA from 1 species
CACGUAGGCGGCUCGCUCAGUCGGGUGUGAAAGCCCACGGCCCAACCGUGGAACUGCACCCGAUACUGGCGAGCUCGAGGACGGAAGGGGUGAGUGGAACUCCAGGUGGAACGGUGAAAUGUAUAGAUAUCUGGAGGAACACCGGUGGCGAAAGCGGCUCACUGGUCCGUCUCUGACGCUGAGGUGCGAAAGCUAGGGUAGCGAACAGGAUUAGAUACCCUGGUAGUCC